UGGGGAAUUUUGGACAAUGGGCGAAAGCCUGAUCCAGCAAUGCCGCGUGUGUGAAGAAGGCCUUCGGGUUGUAAAGCACUUUUGUCCGGGAAGAAAUCCUUGGCUCUAAUACAGUCGGGGGAUGACGGUACCGGAAGAAUAAGCACCGGCUAACUACGUGCCAGCAGCCGCGGUAAUACGUAGGGUGCAAGCGUUAAUCGGAAUUACUGGGCGUAAAGCGUGCGCAGGCGGUUUGCUAAGACCGAUGUGAAAUCCCCGGGCUCAACCUGGGAACUGCAUUGGUGACUGGCAGGCUAGAGUAUGGCAGAGGGGGGUAGAAUUCCACGUGUAGCAGUGAAAUGCGUAGAGAUGUGGAGGAAUACCGAUGGCGAAGGCAGCCCCCUGGGCCAAUACUGACGCUCAUGCACGAAAGCGUGGGGAGCAAACAGGAUUAGAUACCCUGGUAGUCCACGCCCUAAACGAUGUCAACUAGUUGUGGGGAUUCAUUCCUUAGUAACGUAGCUAACGCGUGAAGUUGACCGCCUGGGGAGUACGGUCGCAAGAUUAAAACUCAAAUGAAUUGACGGGGUCAUAGCUGUUUCCU
rnacentral:rRNA from 1 species